rnacentral:misc_RNA from 1 species
GAUGAAGAACGUAGCGAAAUGCGAUAAGUAAUGUGAAUUGCAGAAUUCAGUGAAUCAUCGAAUCUUUGAACGCACAUUGCGCCCGCCAGUAUUCUGGCGGGCAUGCCUGUCCGAGCGUCAUUUCAACCCUCGCGCCCAUCUGGGCUGCGGUGUUGGGGACCGGCCUGCCCCCCGGGGCGCGCCGCCCCCCAAAAUCAGUGGCGGUCUCGCUGCAGCCUCCCUUGCGUAGUAGCACACCUCGCACCGGAGCGCAGCGCGGCCACGCCGUAAAACCCCCGACCCCCAUGAGUUUGACCUCGGAUCAGGUAGGAAUGCCCGCUGAACUUAAGCAUAUCAAUAAGCGGAGGA